rnacentral:rRNA from 1 species
AUUGAACGCUGGCGGCAGGCCUAACACAUGCAAGUCGAGCGGAUGAAGUGAGCUUGCUCCUGGAUUCAGCGGCGGACGGGUGAGUAAUGUCUAGGCUUCUGUCUGGUAUUGGGGCUAACGUCUGGAAAUGGGCGCUUAUACCGCAUACGUCCUGGGGGCGAAAUUUGGGGAUCUUCGGACCUCACGUUUUUAGAUGAGCCUGGGUCGGAUUAGCUAGUUGGUGGGUUAAAGGCCUACCAAGGCGACGAUCCGUAACUGGUCUGAGAGGAUGAACAGUCACACUGGAACUGAGACACGGUCCAGACUCCUACGGGAGGCAGCAGUGGGGAAUAUUGGACAAAGGGCGAAAGCCUGAUCCAGCCAGGCCGCGUGUGUGAAGAAGGUCUUCGGAUUGUAAAGCACUUUAAGUUGGGAGGAAGGGCAGUAAGUUAAUACCUUGCUGUUUUGACGUUACCAACAGAAUAAGCACCGGCUAACUUCGUG